CCGGCGCCGAAGGAUGUGGCUGCGGCCGAUUAGGUAGACGGUGGGGUAACGGCCCACCGUGCCAAUAAUCGGUACGGGUCAUGAGAGUGAGAACCCGGAGACGGAAUCUGAGACAAGAUUCCGGGCCCUACGGGGCGCAGCAGGCGCGAAACCUUUACACUGCACGACAGUGCGAUAGGGGGAUCCCAAGUGCACAGGCAUAGCGCCUGUGCUUUUCGGUACCGUAAGGUGGUACCAGAAUAAGGGCUGGGCAAGACCGGUGCCAGCCGCCGCGGUAAUACCGGCAGCCCAAGUGAUGGCCGAUCUUAUUGGGCCUAAAGCGUCCGUAGCUGGCCGCGCAAGUCCAUCGGGAAAUCCACCUGCUCAACAGGUGGGCGCCCGGUAGAAACUGCGUGGCUUGGGACCGGAAGGCGCGACGGGUACGUCCGGGGUAGGAGUGAAAUCCCGUAAUCCUGGACGGACCGCCGAUGGCGAAAGCACGUCGCGAGAACGGAUCCGACAGUGAGGGACGAAAGCCAGGGUCUCGAACCGGAUUAGAUACCCGGGUAGUCCUGGCCGUAAACAAUGUCUGCUAGGUGUGGCUCCCACUACGAGUGGGUGCUGUGCCGUAGGGAAGCCGCUAAGCAGACCGCCUGGGAAGUACGUCCGCAAGGAUGAAACUUAAAGGAAUUGGCGGGGGAGCACUACAACCGGAGGAGCCUGCGGUUUAAUUGGACUCAACGCCGGACAUCUCACCAGCAUCGACUGUAAUAAUGACGACCAGGUUGAUGACCUUGUCCGAGUUUCAGAGAGGAGGUGCAUGGCCGCCGUCAGCUCGUACCGUGAGGCGUCCUGUUAAGUCAGGCAACGAGCGAGACCCGCACCCUUACUUGCCAGCAGUACCGCGAGGUAGCUGGGGACAGUAGGGGGACCGCCGUGGCUAACACGGAGGAAGGAACGGGCAACGGUAGGUCAGUAUGCCCCGAAUGUGCUGGGCAACACGCGGGCUACAAUGGUCGAGACAAAGGGUUCCAACUCCGAAAGGAGACGGUAAUCUCAGAAACUCGAUCGUAGUUCGGAUUGUGGGCUGCAACUCGCC
rnacentral:rRNA from 1 species